UAUCAGAAGGUUGAUGUUCUUCAGGAUGAUCUUCUCUAGAUCCACAUAUUCUUCAUAUUCUCUCUGAGCUUCUGCAUUCAUUUCUUCCUCCUGUUUUGGUGGCUUUACUGUCUCCUGACAACAACAAAUGAUGAUCCUCAGAGACUCUCAACACAUCUCCCCUAAAUCUUUGGAUUAUCAGACUAAAUCCCUCAGUACAGGUGUGUGUUUGGAUGUGUCUUACUGUACAGUCGGCCUGAAUCGUUGUCCUUCUCCAUCUUCCAGUCGGUGUAAAUGAGUUCUCCAUCCUUACAAGUUUAGUGCUGAUGUUCUCCAGUGGUUUCUGCUGUUUGGCUGAAGGUACACGCUGCUCUCCUAAUCCAGAACCUUCUUCAUGACCUGCGUUCUGUGCUGGUUUCUCUCCUAGAAAGUGAUGAGACGUUAAAUGUUUCAGGCAGCCACUGGAGAUCUGUGAUGGGUGCUUUGUGUUGAUUCUCUACAGCAGACAGAACACAGAACUGAACCACUGGAAUCUUAUUCUUCUUGUUCUGCACGGAAACAUCGGAUUAGAUUUAAAAGGAAGUGUCAUAUGACCUGCUGUAAAUGACAUACACUGCAAAAAAUGACUUUCUUUCUUAGUAUUUUUGUCUUGUUUUUAGGACAAAUAUCUAAAAAUUCUUAAAUCAAGAUGUACUUUCUUGAUGAGCAAAAUGACCUUAGAAAAAAGUCUAGAUUUUAGACAAAAAAAAACAUACAUUUGUGCUUAAAACAACCAAAACAUAUCUGCCAAUGGGGUGAGAAUUUUUUUCUUGAAUUAACUGUUUGUUGAAUUAAGAUUUUUGCUUACCCCAUUGUCAUAUUUUUUUGCUUGUUUUAGGCACAAAUUCAAUUAAAUUUAAUGUUUUUUCUCUUAGAAAAAAAAACAUACCAUAACCAUAAAUGAGGGAGAAUAAAACUAAAUCUGAUGCUGCACAAAAAUUUAAAAUGCAUCAAAGCUAGUGUUUUUACUAAUCUUUGACAGGUGAAAAAGGUGAAAGAUGUGUAGUCCACAAUCACUUUUUAUAUAUUGAAAAUCAGUAAUUUUGUGUCCCCCCUCCCAAAUCAGUGACAUCACUUAUGAACUUGGCAAUUAAAGAGUUAAAGUCAUGUAAUUUUGUAAACAUUUGGUAGUUUUGAACAGCUGAGGUUAAAUAACAGAUUCAUGCAAAAAAAAUAUGAAUCUGCUACAUUUUUACAGCAAUUUAAUUUAGUGGCUUUUUGGCCACUAACAACACAAAUGAAUUUGAACAAUGCACAAGGGGUUAAUAGAUGCCCUUUAAGAAUUUUUGAUAUGUGUAUUGAAAACACUGCCUAAUGUCUGGGGACAUCUCAUGAUGAAGCUGCUUAUAAAUCAAACUGGAUGAUGUUUAUUUGAAAAUGUAAAAAUGCCAAAUGUUGUCUGUGAGGGUUUUUUUCUGGGGAGGAGGUGAGAUGGUGCCAGGGGGUCCCAGUUUAUGAUAUUUUUUAAAACUACAUUAAUUUAUCACAAUUUCUGUGUUAUCAAACCAACAGCACUAUGUAUUAUUUAAUAUGUUUUGUUUAAUUCAAAUUCUCAUGAGAACCCGUGGGAUAGGGGAAGGGGAUUAAGCAUUUUUUAUGUACUUUGUACGCUAUAAAAACUAUUACGUCUGUGAAAUGUCCCCAUU